rnacentral:lncRNA from 1 species
CUCUAUCAAAAGCUGAAAUAGCAAAUACAGGCAGAUAAUAGUACAAGUUUAAAUUAGCAAAAGAGUCCAAACUGCAUCCAUUCUUGGCUAAGGCGUCCGCUAUCCCAUUUGCUUCUCUGAAUGCAUGUUUCAAUGAUGGCGAUCACACCUCAGAUAAUAGGAGCCUGCAAUCAUUAAUAAUAUUUCGAUAAAACAUAUUUUCAUUAUUAAUCAGGUUAAUAAGAUCCUGACAGUCUAUUUCAAUGACUAGAGGGGUUAGUCAUUUUUGAAUGGCUAGUUGUAGGCCUGUAAUAGGGACAUGGCUUCCAUUUGAAUAUUUGUUGCAUUGGCAAAUCCCUUACUAAAAUCUAGUAUCCAUUUUCCGUUGCUGUCUCUGAAACCCACCCCACCCCCACCCCCCUCCUAGGCUAACUAGGCAUGAUCCGUCAAUGUUUAGUUUGUAGGUCCCUAGGUCCGGUGGGUCCUAUUUAAUGAGGAUUGUUCUUUCUGAUGAUCUAGCAGGACUUCAAUUGCUAAGGAAUAGGAAUUUCUGGGUGCUAUUAAUCACUUUGUUAAUGUUGGGAUAUGGGCUACUUUUGUAAAAAAUCUUUCAUUUCUAGUGGCCCAUAAAUACCAAAGGAGGAAAGGUAAGAGGAUGGGCCAAGUGAUGUAUUGAUUAUAGCGCUUGUUUGCUUUUAGUUGGUGCUUUAGACAAUGGAAGGUAGACAAACCGUUAUCCAAAGAAGGGUAAUUGUGUUUUAUGUGAUAUUGCCUCCAUAUUUCCUUUGAGUAAGAGCAUGUGUUUUAUGCCCUCCUUUUCAGUUCCACAUAUGAUACAAAUGUUUGAUGUGCAUAUAUUACGUUUUGCUAGAAAGGUUGUUGUUGGGAGUCUAUCGAGGGUAAGCAACCACAUGAAGUAUUUUAGUUUGUUAAGGGUCUUGCAUUUCUAAAUCUAUUUAUAAUCGAGGUUAUUUUCCUCAGUCUGCAUUUCUAAAUCCACUUAUAAUCGAGGUUAUUUUCCUCAGUAUGAGUAUCCUGGAGAGUAGCAAGAUCAUAGGUUUCCUUGACUGAGAAAGAAUUAUGGCCCGGUGUGUUCCAGAAUAUCUUAUCUCUUUCUGGUUGGGAUUGUGGUAUAUAAGUGCUAUGGAUUUUGAGGAUUAUGUCUUCAGGAAAUUCGAAGGAAAGUAUUGAUAGAUUAAAAAAGCCAUGUUGGAUGUUCGAGCUUACUUUCAUGUCUUCUUCUCCUCUUUGGAUAGGCCCAUGGAUACUACUCCUUAGAGUGUUUCCAUGGUUUAUCCAACGGUUGUUCCAAAGAUUUAUGUUUUUCCCAUUACCAGUAAUCCAAUUAAUCCCUUUCUGGAAAAUCUUGUGUCCUUUAUGAAUGUUUUUCCAGAAAUAUGAGGACCCAGGAUUAGGGAUUAAUCUGUUAUUGUGAUUAGAAUUCCUAUCAUAUUUGUUGUGUAGGACCUUAACCCAAAGGGCUUCUUUGUUGUUUGAUUAUCUCCAGGCAAGACUGGUGCUGAAGGCCUUAUUUUUAUAACUGGUUUUAUAGAGUCCUAGGCCUCCUUGAUUCUUUGAGAAGUGACUUUAUUCCAAUUGAGUAGGUGACACUUUCUUUUUUCCUCCGUGCUACCCCAUAGAAAAUUUCGUUGGAUGAAAUCUAUCUUAUUUAGGGUAGCUUGGUAGAUCAAAACUUUGCAUGUUGUGAUUGGGAAUGGCUGCAAGGGUUGCUUUAAUGAGGGUUGUUCUUCCUGCUAGGUUCAGGAAGCGGCUUUUUCAUCCUUUUAGUUGUUGUUUAGAUUAUCGAUAAUAAAUUGAAAGUCCUUUUUGGAUAGCCUCUCGUUUGCUAUGGGGAAGCCCAGGUAUUUUUCUACUAAGUUUGAUAUUUUCAUGUUUAAACAUCUACUGAGUAGAGAUUGUUUAUUUGGGUGAGUAUUUUUUUGAAAAGAUAAUUCUAGAUUUGCUGAAAUUGAUGGAUUGACCAGAGAACUCACAUAAUUUAUUCAGAGUAACUAUGAGAGAGUCGCAACUCUUUUGAUUGGCCUCCAUCAUAAGAAUGAGAUCGUCUUUAAAGAAUAGGUGAGAUUGGGGGCCCUUUUUUGAUAAGGUUAUAGAGUCUCAUCUACAACAAUCUACUUCAUGGUCAAUGAGUCUAGAAAGCAUUUUCAUGCAUAUUAUGAAUAAGUACGGGUAGAUGGGGUCUCCUUGCCUAAUGCCUCUAGUAAGGGUAAAAAAUUAUAUGCUUGAACCAUUUAUGAGAAUGGAGGUGGAUGUGGAAGGUACACGGGACAUAAUAAGCUCCAUUGGUUUUUCUGGGAAGUUAAGAAAUUUUAAGGAGAAUCUAAUGAAAGACCACUCAAGUUUUUCGAAGGCCUUUUCUAAGUCAAUUUUGAUCAUGAUUUUUCCUUUAUUCCCUUUGGCAUUUAUGAAAAAAAAAAAUUGGACUUCAUGCACUAUAAUGGCAUUGUCAGAGGCUCUCCUGCCCUUUACAAAGUUCGUUUGAGAAGGGUGAAUAAUAUUGUUGAGCAAAUGCUUUAUUCUAUUAAUUAUAUUUUUUAUGACUACCUUAUAGGCAGUAUUACAGAGGCUAAUGGGUCUAUAUUGCCUUAAGGUUUCAACAUUCUGGUGCUUUAGAAAUAAACAAACAUAUGUUCUGUUCACGCAUUCAAUCAUUUUCCUCUUAGUGAAGGACUCUUUACAGAAAUUGACCAAAAGGUUAUUGGUAAUUCCCCAAAAUUUUUGGUAGAAGAAGGAAUGGAUGUCAUCCGGCCCUGGUGCUUUUAGUGGUUUAAAAGAGAAGAGGUCAUUAUUUUCUUCCAUCAGGCUCUCUAAUGAGGGAGAGAUUGUCAUUUAGAGUGGCUGAGGAUAAAGCAGGCAUGAAAGUCAGAUUUUUUUUGGAGGAAGUAUGAUUAGUGGUAUAAAGAUUUUUAUAGAAAUUAGUUAUGAUAUGGCCAAGUUCCUUUGGAUUGUGGAACCAAUUUCCAGCUUUGUCUCUAAUGCUAAAGAUCCUAUUUUUCCUUCUUCUUUGCAGUGUCGUGAGGUGGAAGAAUUUAGUGUUUGUAUCACCAUCCUGGAUCCACUAGAUCAUUGAUUUCAGCUUCCAGAAUUCCUCUUCUAGUUUGAGAAUUUUUUGUAGUUCUUCUAAAAGCUCCUCUUCUGAAUUAGCCAAAAAAGAUGCUAGUAGUGUACUUAGGAUAUUUUUGGAUGUCUUCUAGUCUAGCUUGGAUCUCAUUCUUUUUUUUAAAGAUAUUUCCAAUGGUGUCAUUAUUCCAGGCCGUGGCUUUAUUAGUGAAGUUGUUAAUAGCUGUAGAUAUAUUGAGCUGAUUUGUCUAACAGUCUGUUACCGAACCCUUAAAAGUGGGAUGGGAUAACCACAUGGUUUCUAAUCGAAAUAUAUAAUUAUUUCGACUAGGUCUUUUAAUAAGGUUAAGAUGUAUAGGGCAGUGGCCAGCGUGGGUUCUUAUCAGGUGUUUUACACAAGCUUCAAGAAACAUACUAAUCCAUUCACUAUUGGCUACAAAUCUGUGUAGUCUCUCCAUAAUAGAAGUUUUUUUAUUCCUUUUCCUCUUAUUUAACCAAGUAUAUUUUGUGCCUUUAAACCCCAGGUCUGUAAGAUUCCAGAUAUUCAGGCAAUUAAUAAAUUUUUAGAUUUUAUAGUUAUUGACAGGGAGGCCACCAAAUUGCUCACUUGCUCUAGUGACUUCAUUGAAGUCUCCUUAUACUAACCAAGGUCCUUUGUAAUUACAUGCUACUGUUUUUAGGUUAUUCCAAAGUAUAAUUCUUUCUUCUAGUAAAUUACUAGCAUAGAGCAUAACCAACUUUUAGGAAGAGUUUUACCUUUACCAUGGCGUGGAUCUCUUGGUCAGUACCCCAUAUUUGAUCAACAUUGACUUCAUCGUUGUUCCACAUUAGUGC